UACGAAGGGGGCUAGCGUUGCUCGGAAUUAUUGGGCGUAAAGAGCUCGUAGGCGGCUUGUCACGUCGAUUGUGAAAGCCCGAGGCUUAACCUCGGGUCUGCAGUCGAUACGGGCUAGCUAGAGUGUGGUAGGGGAGAUCGGAAUUCCUGGUGUAGCGGUGAAAUGCGCAGAUAUCAGGAGGAACACCGGUGGCGAAGGCGGAUCUCUGGGCCAUUACUGACGCUGAGGAGCGAAAGCGUGGGGAGCGAACAGG
rnacentral:rRNA from 1 species